ensembl:snRNA U6 U6 spliceosomal RNA
GUGCUUGCUUUAGCAGCACACACACUAAAAUUGGAACAGUGUAAAGAAUAACAUGGCCCCUAUGUAAGGAUGACACAAAUUUGUGAAGGGUGCCACUUCUGU